rnacentral:rRNA from 1 species
GAAUGAACAGGGAUAAGCUCAGCAUGGAAAUUGGGGCCUCUGGCCUUGAAUUGUAGUCUUAAGAUGUGCUACCAACGGAGGCGCAGAUGUAAGCCUCUUGGAAAAGAGCGUCAGGGAGGGUGAGAGUCCCGUAUGCCAUCUGCAGUUCUCUGUGCACGGUGCAUUUUCUAAGAGUCACGUUCCUCGGGAUUGGAGCGCAAAUUGGGUGGUAAAUUUCAUCUAAAGCUAAAUAUUGGUUCGAGACCGAUAGCAAACAAGUACCAUGAGGGAAAGGUGAAAAGGACUUUGAAAAGAGAGUUAAAAGUGCCUGAAAUUGCUGAAAGGGAAGCGAAUGGAACCAGUUGUUCUUGGCGAGUAUUGGUGUUGUCUAAAGUGAUGGCUUGCCACUUCAACGCAAGUGUGGUGGCAGGUUUUGAUCUGGAUGCGAUACUGCAUCUCGCCUUGCAUGUCAACGUCAGUUCAUAAUUGAGGAAAACUCUAAGGACUUGGUAAUUUGCUUCCGGGUGACUGAAUGUCCCUAGCUGAACUCAUUUUUGAACUGCUCUCUCUAUGUCUGGUAGCAGUGCUCUGUGAGCUUGUCUGCAAUCCUGUGCUGGCUCUGCUUGGCAUGGGGUUGCUGGUGCCUAGAGCAUGUCCUUGACAUAAGUACGAUGACGAAAUGGUUUUAUUCGACCCGUCUUGAAACACGGACCAAGGAGUCUAACAUAUGUGCAAGUUCACGGGCGGGAAAACCUGCUUGCGCAUAUGAAAGUGACUGCUGGGAUAUCUAGACCAGCAACCGACCAAUCAAUUGUGAGAGGUUUGAGUAUGAGCAUAUCUGUUAGGACCCGAAAGAUGGUGAACUAUGCUUGAGAAGGGUGAAGUCAGGGGAA